AAAUCGAUUUUCUUAGUAGCGGCGAGCGAAAGGGAAAGAGCCCAAACCGGAAACUUGUUUCCGGGGUUGUGGACAUAACAUAAAAGUGGAGGCUAUUGUAACUGAAGAGAACUGGAAAGUUCCACCGUAGAAGGUAAUAGUCCUGUAAGUGAAACGAGAAGACCACGAGUUAUGAUCCAGAGUACCACGAGACACGUGAAACCUUGUGGGAAGCAGGGAGGACCACCUCCCAAGGCUAAAUACUACCUGAUGACCGAUAGUGAAGCAGUACCGUGAGGGAAAGGUGAAAAGAACCCCGGGAGGGGAGUGAAAUAGAACCUGAAACCGUGUGCCUACAACCGCUCAGAGCCCCUUAUGAGGGUGAUGAGGUGCUUUUUGUAGAACGAGCCAACGAGUUACGGUAUGUAGCAAGGUUAAGUACUUAAGGUACGGAGCCGAAGGGAAACCGAGUCUGAAUAGGGCGACUAGUUGCAUGCCGUAGACCCGAAACCGGGUGACCUAUCCAUGGCCAGGUUGAAGCGAGGGUAAAACCUCGUGGAGGACCGAACCACGUUGCUGUUGAAAAAGCAUGG
rnacentral:rRNA from 1 species